UGGGAAUCUUGCACAAUGGGGGAAACCCUGAUGCAGCGACGCCGCGUGAACGAUGAAGCCCUUCGGGGUGUAAAGUUCUUUCGACAGGAACGAUAAUGACGGUACCUGGAGAAGAAGCUGCGGCUAACUACGUGCCAGCAGCCGCGGUAAUACGUAGGCAGCGAGCGUUGUUCGGAGUUACUGGGCGUAAAGAGUGCGUAGGCGGCGAGCCAAGUUUGGUGUGAAAUCUCCCGGCUUAACCGGGAGGGUGCGCCGAAAACUGGUUGGCUGGAGUAUGGGAGAGGAAAGCGGAAUUCCUGGUGUAGCGGUGAAAUGCGUAGAUAUCAGGAGGAACACCCGCGGUGUAGACAGCUUUCUGGACCAAAACUGACGCUGAGGCACGAAAGCGUGGGUAGCAAACA
rnacentral:rRNA from 1 species